rnacentral:tRNA from 1 species
GCCCGAAGAUGUCUAAUGGUUAUGAUAUCAGACUUCUAAUCUGAAGGUUCCGGGUUCAAGUCCCGGCGUGGGUU